rnacentral:lncRNA from 1 species
UUUUUAUUUCUUUUUGACAAUCAUAGAGGAAGAAAUUAAGGGAAUAAGUUCAUAAAUAAAUCUUCCUUCAAAAAAAAAAGUUCAUAAAUAAAUCAAUACAUCUCACAUUCUCUGGGUAACCACCGCAGCCACCGCCCCUCCAUUUGAGUCUGACAAAGUGACCUUCCCCUCUCUCUCUGAAACAAAAGUGAAAAAACAUAACCCAAAAUCAAAAUUCAAGGUCUCUCCUCUCUCAUUCGGUGGUGAUUUCAACUUCGACUCUGACAUCACUUCACGGGCAUCAGCAUUUACAUCAGCAGAGCUUAUAAUAUAAAGUGUGAGAUAGUCCAACUCAAACGCAUAAGUGCCUCCGCAAAAUGGCGAAGAAGAGCGAACAUCUUCCUCAAGAAGUGAUUAAUGAAAUCCUGUUGAGGUCCAUCCAUUGUUGUCAACAAACAAAUACCUCUGUCUCCUAUAACUCUUACCUACAAUGAAUAUAUUAUCAACUUUCUGUGUGGCUUGACAUAUGAACCGUCAACUGAUGAUUACUUGGUAGUUUUGG